AAUGCUCCAUUUGAGCCUAUUGAGGAAGCUGACAUCAAGAUGUCUAUGAAGUUGAUUUUUUUGUUGGCAAUUACCUCUGCAAAGAGGGUUAGUGAAUUGGGGGCUCUCUAUCAAAUUGCCUUAUCUUCUUUUCUUGGAAAACAGGGUAGUGUUGAGAACGAUUCCAUCUUUCCAACCAAAGGUAUCCAUAAGUUCUAAUAUCAAUCAAGAAAUAGUGUUACCUUCUUUUUUUCCAAACCCUGUAGACGAGGAGGAGAAAAAGCUUCAUUCUCUGGAUGUGGCAAGAGCGUUGGAAAAUUAUUUUAAGAAAUUCAGUUCCUUUAGGAAAUUAGAAAAUGUAUUGGUCAAUUUUUCAGGUUGAACAAAGGGCAGUAAAACUUCCAAAUUCACGAUUUCCAGAUGGAUUCGAGAUGCUAUACAUGUAUGUUGAGUCAGCAGUCCUUACACCUCCAAAUUUCGUUAAAGCACAUUCCACAAGGGAGGUGGCCACAUCAUGGGCUGAAAGGAGUCAGCUGAACAAAUUUGCAAAGCAGCAACAUGGAGCAGCCUGCAUACAUUUUUAAAAAAUUGGGAAUAAUUACAAAGUACAGUAAUGCAAAAAAUCAGGUUUUUGCCUUUAUUGGCCAACUGGAACAAUACUGUGCCCAGUGUGAGCUGUUUGUCGGAUCAGUCAGUAUGAACUUCUAUGUCGUAUGGUUUUCUGCCUCAUCAUUGCGGAAGGGUAAAUCACACAUUUUUAAAAUCGUAAUGUGCACUUGUUCAAUCACUAUCCAUUUUAUUACUUGCUUUUUAGCUAUAAAGCAAGAUGGCGGCACAAACGUGUUGAUAACAUCAGCGAUUACAACAUCCUACAAUUCCGGAAGAUCGAUUUUGAGUACACAGCAAACACAUUUUAGCGCGCUUAGGCGCAUUACAACACAGUAUUGACAACCAAAAAAAACAGAGCUGGGCUUGUCUUAUGCAUGGCACAUAACCAAUCACUUCACUAUACUCUAGUUCAACCUGCAAUGAGUACAUGCGACUCUGCGUUUUGCCCAGUAAAAACUACUAAUUUCAACCAAUCAUCGUUUACGUUUUUUCCUUCUUAGAACGCAACGUUGUUUUCGACCAAUCGGUAUCCUUUUUCUACUAAUUCACCAAUUAUCUUCGUUUUUUAUUCCUAGAGGCCGGACACCGCAGGUGAUAAAAGGUAAAAACUGCUUGUUUCUGUUCAGUCAUUUUGGAGCAAGGAAGAAGGAGGAGUUUGGAAGUAUAGUGACAAAGACAGACCGUGUGAUGGAAAGCGAUCGGGCAAUCCAUCGUGCGUCGACCAAUUCUCCUACCUGCCUUCUUUAUAGGGUGGAGAUUUAGAGCACAGCACGCUUUUUUCUGAAGAGCAGCAGAAGCCCAGUUUUGAUUUCUCCAGAAAACGUAAGCGCAGUCGGUGGAAUGAUGAAACUCUAGACCAGAAGACUAUUAUUCCGGGGGUGCCUACAGUAAUAUCUUCUGGGCUUACUCGUGAUCAGGAAAGAGCUUAUAUAGGUCACCAUCUCCAGAAUCAAUUUAUAACAGUGAAGGGAAGCGGCUGAACGCAAGAGAGUUCAGAACACGCAAAAAGCUUGAAGAGGAACGUCAUAUCCUCAUCACUGAAAUGGUGGGGUUGAACCCUUAUUUCAAGCCACCUGCAGACUGCAAAUUUGUAAUAUCCUAAAGCAGAGGAUCAGAAUGAUUUGCAUAAAAUUCAGUUGCAGGAACUUGCUAGGCUGAAUAGUACUCUGAGAGAAGAUGACAACAGGAUACUGAGACCAUGGCAGAGAUCUGAAACUAGCAUCACCAACACUACAGUGUGUACAAAAUGUGGAGGAGCUGGACACAUAGCUUCAGACUGCAAAUUUACCAGUGUAACCGUGCGCCCUGGUGAACCACAGUCUGCCCAGGACAAAGCAAGGAUGGAUAAAGAGAAUCUGUCUUUUAUGGCAGAACUGGGAGAGGCCCCUUUACCCACACCUAUGGGUUCUGCAUCCCAUAAUCCUGUUCAAGGCCUCCCCUGAACCGGCCACCUUGGAUUACUCCUGAUCGUCCUUUUCAAGCUCUCCAUGGUACUUCCCAUUCAUUUGCACAUACUAUGGGAAAUACAGGGAAUGGACCUACCCUCCAGCAAAACACUGGAGGACCACAUCAUCACUGGAUGCAACUACACCCAUCUGGCCCGCAUCAUAUGGAUAAGAUGAAGAAACUGAACCUAUUCCCAAUACAGUCUUCUGCAUUCUCAUCCAAUGGGCCUGAUGCCUCCAUCCCCACUGCCUCCACCUAGUGGGCCAGCCCCUUCACCACCCCCACCUUCUUCACCAUGUCUACCCCCUUGGCAGCAGCAGGCUACCGGUGCCCCUCUCCAAACUGGAGGUCCUUUACCUUGGCAAGUUCACCAACUACAGUGUCUGGAGCAGCUUCUCUCCCUCCAUGGCAACAGGAAACUGGUAGUACUACAUCUAGCACUGCCCCCCAACUCCAGACAGCUGCCUCCCUAGUGCCUCCUCCCGGUGUUCAGCCACCAGGUGCUCCGCCACCGCCACCUCCCCCAGGCACAUCUGGUCUUCUCUAUGCUCCACCUCCCCCACCACCACCUCCUUUAGAUCCCUCAAACUAUGUCACAAUGAUGGGAAUGGGUGUACCUGGUAUCCCCCCUUUUUCUAUGCCCCCUGCUCCUCCACCACCAUCUCCUCAGAACUAAAGUCGGAGUUGUACCCUUUCAGAUACACAUAAUAAAGAGGGGUGUUUGCACUAUUCUUUUAGUGUUGGGCUACUUCAAAUUCUUAAAAAGAAUUGGUGCUGCCCCUCUCAUUAUGUGUGAAGUAGUAUUGUUAACUACAACAUCUGGUUACCUGAAUCUAGUUUUACAGUGAAACUCCAUCCCUCAAAUGUGACUUUACUAUCUGCCCAGCACAACUGAAGAGAUGUUUUAUUGAAUUAUGAAAGGACAUUGUGCCUCUUACCUUUACCUGAUUAUUUUGGUUUUUUUUUUUUUAUUCCUAGGUACUUUGCUUGUUCUGUUAACAUUAAUUCUUUAUACUUUUCGCAAAUUCCUGGUUACUUAAAUUAACUGAAAUACAUCUUUGUUUAUAUGACAAAUUUUUUUUAUAUACAUGUAUAUGAAUCCAUAAGUUGGCAGUGCUAUUGGAGAGAAAAAAGCUGAGCAAAGCGCUUAUAAAAGUGACACUUUAACUCUGAACACUGUAAACCCAUGCUGUGAACACUUGCCUUCUAAAUAAGUCUGAAGUAAGUUAUACAAAAUGCUGCUGUCAUAUAAAAGGCUGUCUUGAAGUUCCUUAUACAGUUCAAUGCCCUGGGUACCUCAAUAUCAAGGGAACUAUUAAGGGCUUAAUUUAGAAAUAAGUAUGGAUAUGCAAUCAGAUACACAAUCUUACAGAGUUAUAAUUUCAAUUCCCUAAUCUCGUAGGUUGCAUAAUUGUCUGUGCAACACUAUUGCAUCCUGCUGGCUAAUCAGAUCUAGCAGCCUUUUAUGAAAAACUUCAUGCUAUAAUGGAAAAGAUUAAUGUUCGUGUCAAAGCUUAGAGGUUGUAUAUAAUGAAAGUUGUAAUGUUGUUGCUUUGCGAAAGCUUUUCAUAAAAUUCAGAUCACACAUUCAUCCCACAGAAAGUUAUUCAGUAUAUCAUAGGCGCUAUGUUCUGUAACUUGGAUUAUAUUCUUAGUCCCCCUGCCAUUUUUAGAUACUGUUUGUAUUUAAGUUCUUAGUCAAGAUACAAAUUUAUUGAGUUGUUGCUUAUUUGUACUUGCUUAUGCCCCCAGCAUCAUUUAUGCCUUUUUGGGUGUAGGGAGCCUUUAAUGUAUAUACUUGUCACCAUUUUAAGAUCCUCUCGAGAAAGGUGUAAAGUGUACUAUGUAGCUAAGGAAACACAUUUCUGUGCUUGCUUGCUGAUGCUUGCUAUUUUGUGACUCUGGAAUAAGGGCCUGCCCUAAAUUAAAAUACAUGUUUUUAAAAAAGUUUCUUGUUUAAUUCAUGAUUAGUAUGUAAAAUAAAAAGUAGCUCUUA